rnacentral:rRNA from 1 species
UACGGGGGGGGCAAGCGUUGUUCGGAAUUACUGGGCGUAAGGGGCUCGUAGGCGGCCAACUAAGUCGGACGUGAAAUCCCCAGGCUCAACCUGGGAACUGCAUCCGAUACUGGAUGGCUUGAAUUCGGGAGAGGGAUGCAGAAUUCCAGGUGUAGCGGUGAAAUGCGUAGAUAUCUGGAGGAAUACCGGUGGCGAAGGCGGCAUCCUGGACCGACAUUGACGCUGAGGAGCGAAAGCCAGGGGAGCAAACGGG